UGUGUCCCAGGGAAUUCUUGUCACGAUGGUGGGUUUCUGGGUUGGUGCUGUGCAGAUCCCCUGGCUGGGAGCUUGGGGGAGUAACCUGAAGCAUGCUGCUCCCUUGCUCUUGAGCACCCUCGGCUACUGGAUGGAGCUCUGAAAACAAGCCCGCUGUGUAGCUCUGAAUCACACAGUUUUGCUCAGCACCCAACGGCAGCUACAACACUUUACUCUUCACAGCAUCUUGUCUGCUGGUGCUGCUUGUCUGUGCAAGUGGCCCUGUUGGUGAAGACCACACUGUUGCUCCUCUUGAAGCACCCAGAUCUCAUCCACACACAGCCAAGUGCACAGAUCUCUGGUGUCCAGAUCCAUGAGUUCUGACAGAUUCACAGAACCUCAGGCCCACAGGCACAGCACUGGGGUAGAGACCACAGGACAGAAGUCAGAAGGCUCCCAAUUUCCAACCAGUUUUAAAUUCAAGAAUUUAACAAACAGUAUAACUUCUUAAUUUAUUCUUGCUUUAUGCUUUGCCAAUUGCUUUUUAUAAAAGAACAGUGCUUGUUGAUUUUGUGGUAUGUCUGCCACAAUUAGCAAUAGGUCCAAUUUCCUACGGUGAAUCAUAUAACCUUUGUAAAGGAAAUCCAAGAUGAAACUCACUUUUUAGAAUAUUAAAUAAUGGAGCAGGGCAA